rnacentral:lncRNA from 1 species
CCCAGUGAAGGGCUCGGUGGUUGGGCGGGGGGACUUCCCCGCAGCCCAGGCCAGAGAUCCGCCCUUGUACGGAGCUCUGAGCCCCCGCUGCCAAGGACACUUCCAGAAACCCCCCCGCUGCAGCCAGGACCUUUGGAGAAAUCUUGCCCAAAAGAUCUGGCGAGGAGCCCCACCACAGAUGAGCAGAUACAUCCCAGCAAUGGUCUAAAAUGCUCUUACCUGGUCUCUCGUGUGAUAAAGAGCAGUAUUUACAAAUAUAACUGCAUUGAGUUUGGAACACAAUCUUUGACCAAGAAAACAGAAUGAACCUAACUGGGGAGGUAAGCCAUGUUUUUUCCUCUUUCACAUCAAAAAGCAGCCUCCUUAACCUUCUCAACCCCCAACCCCAGCUAUGCAGGAUAUUG